CUACGGGUCGCUGCAGUGGGGAAUAUUGGACAAUGGGGGAAACCCUGAUCCAGCAAUGCCGCGUGUGUGAAGAAGGCCUGCGGGUUGUAAAGCACUUUCGGUUGGGAGGACUGCUUCUAGCACUAAUAUUGUUGGAAGUUGACGUUACCUUCAGAAGAAGCACCGGCUAACUCCGUGCCAGCAGCCGCGGUAAUACGGAGGGUGCAAGCGGUAAUCGGAAUUACUGGGCGUAAAGCGCGCGUAGGCGGCUAGAUCAGUCGGGUGUGAAAGCCCCGGGCUUAACCUGGGAACUGCAUCCGAUACUGGGUAGCUUGAGUACAGGAGAGGAGAGUGGAAUUCCACAUGUAGCGGUGAAAUGCGUAGAUAUGUGGAGGAACACCAAUGGCGAAGGCAGCUCUCUGGCCUGAUACUGACGCUGAGGUGCGAAAGCGUGGGGAGCAAACAGGAUUAGAUACCCUAGUAGUC
rnacentral:rRNA from 1 species